rnacentral:misc_RNA from 1 species
GAUGAAGAACGCAGCGAAAUGCGAUAAGCAGUGUGAAUUGCAGAAUUCAGUGAAUCAUCGAAUCUUUGAACGCACAUUGCGCCCUUUGGUAUUCCUUAGGGCAUGCCUGUUCGAGCGUCAUUUAAACCUUCAAGCUAAGCUUGGUGUUGGGUGACUGUCCGCUUCACGGCGGACUCGCCUCAAAAUUAUUGGCGGCCGGUACAUUGGCUUCGAGCGCAGCAGAAACGCGAACUCGGGCCCGUCGUAUUGGCUCCCAGAAGCUAUCUUCACAAUUUUGACCUCGGAUCAGGUAGGGAUACCCGCUGAACUUAAGCAUAUCAAUAAGCGGAGGA